UCAACGUACCACCGAGGAAUUCAAGAGGGUAAGCGCAAGGAAUAAAGUCAAUCGGGCCAAGCUAAAAGGACCCGCGUGUCUUGGGAGGCACAGUAUGGCUGUUACUCGCCAUAAGAUGGCGAUGGAGAAGAAUCUUACCUCUGAUGUCGAGAUAGGUAGAUGUGAAGUCUUCUUAAGAGCCCAUACAAGAAAGGACAAAGUUGUCCAAUAUCCUGACCUUGCUGAAAAACUAGAUGAGCUCUAUAGUAGCAAUCCUGCUUCUAGGAUGACCGGCAUGGAUGAUGCCCUUACAGAGUUAGU